UGGGGAAUUUUGGACAAUGGGCGAAAGCCUGAUCCAGCAAUGCCGCGUGUGUGAAGAGGGCCUUCGGGUUGUAAAGCACUUUUGUCCGGAAAGAAAUCCUUGGCUCUAAUACAGUCGGGGGAUGACGGUACCGGAAGAAUAAGCACCGGCUAACUACGUGCCAGCAGCCGCGGUAAUACGUAGGGUGCAAGCGUUAAUCGGAAUUACUGGGCGUAAAGCGUGCGCAGGCGGUUUGCUAAGACCGAUGUGAAAUCCCCGGGCUCAACCUGGGAACUGCAUUGGUGACUGGCAGGCUAGAGUAUGGCAGAGGGGGUAGAAUUCCACGUGUAGCAGUGAAAUGCGUAGAGAUGUGGAGGAAUACCGAUGGCGAAGGCAGCCCCUGGGCCAAUACUGACGCUCAUGCACGAAAGCGUGGGGAGCAAACAGGAUUAGAUACCCUGGUAGUCCACGCCCUAAACGAUGUCAACUAGUUGUUGGGGAUUCAUUUCCUUAGUAACGUAGCUAACGCGUGAAGUUGACCGCCUGGGGAGUACGGUCGCAAGAUUAAAACUUAAAGGAAUUGACGGGGUCAUAGCUGUUUCCU
rnacentral:rRNA from 1 species